UACGUAGGGGGCUAGCGUUGUCCGGAUUUAUUGGGCGUAAAGAGCGUGUAGGCGGUCAGGUAGGUCUGCUGUGAAAACUCGAGGCUUAACCUCGAGAUGUCGGCGGAAACCAUCUGGCUAGAGUCCGGAAGAGGAGAGUGGAAUUCCUGGUGUAGCGGUGAAAUGCGCAGAUAUCAGGAAGAACACCCGUGGCGAAGGCGGCUCUCUGGGACGGUACUGACGCUGAGACGCGAAAGCGUGGGGAGCGAACAGGAUUGAGAUACCCGGGGUAGUCCAAGCACCGA
rnacentral:rRNA from 1 species